AAGGACAAUGUAGAGCGUGAAGGCACUGCCGCGUUUUGUCUCCAACGCACAGUGCCUGCGAAAGAUCGAAGGGAACUUGCUGCCUGUGUUUCAGCUUUCCCUUUGCAAAGAUGAAUUUAGAAGCAAGUCAGUUUUUCUUCCAUGUCAUGAUCAUUUCUAUACUGUCAAUGACUUCCCGUGAAAGCAGCCAGGCGCGCAAGGGUGUCCCAGGAUGCUUCAAAAGUCACGAAAAGUACAGCGCUUGCAAAAGUGGAAAUUGUGCCGAAGCAACAUGCAGGAAGCCAACUAUAGGACCUCGCUGUAGAAGGAACUGCAUUGACGGCUGCUUCUGCGUGAAAGGGUACUACAGGGAAGACGUCAGCCGAGACAAAUUGUGUGUGGAGUGGAUCGAGUGCCCUCCUAAUUCAACUCCUCCUUUUAGUUGGUAUGGUUGAAGAUGUCGGCAUCGGACAUAAUAAAAA